rnacentral:lncRNA from 1 species
AAUUGGCUGGGGCAUUGCGUGAUUGGGGUGGUUCAGAGAUAGAUACUGAUGGAUCUACAGGAGGUUGUAAAGCUGGAGCUGGUGCUAAUUCAGGUGAAGGUGAAGGUGAAGGUGAAGGUGCAGGAGUCAAAAAGAUACUGGAGGGGGAUUCUGAAGGAGACAACGAUGAAGGUGAAGGUGACAUUGAAGGUGAAAAUGAGGAUUCUGAUGGCGAAGGUGAUGGUGACAGUUGGGAAAUUCUUUCAUUGGCUGUCUUAGAGGGUACAAGCACCUGCUGCAGCCGCCUCCCAUAAGCUAUAUCUCCUGGCUGGGCAAUGUUCCUAACAAUGAGAAGACAUCAUGAAGCAAGUAGUUAAUACUCUAUAUAACAAACUUUACAGCAUAAACCAAAAACUUCCUCAGUAUAGAAGGAUGUGAGAGCUUGCUAUAACUUCUCAAUUGGAACCACUAAAGUUAUAUAGUAAGUAACAUAGGGAGACACAUCCUAUAAGCGUCAGAACUCUGGGCUUCUUUCUCUGCAUAUGGUUCCUUGAGCUUUCUGCUCAGCUUUUUUCUUUCUUUUUUGGCCCAUGGCUGACAGAAUGAGGCAAGUCUAGAAUUUUUAUAUGGACAACUUCUUUUUCUUCUUAAGAUGGAUGCAUCAAAAAAGAACUCAAAGGAAGUUGAUAUAUUGCAUCAACUUUAAUUGCUUACCAGGGGAAACCACUGCUUUUACAAGAUGGUAUAGUAGCAGCAUCAGUUAGCCGAUUCUC